GCGUAUGAAGUACGUUUCACCUCGGGUGACAGGGAGACAGGUGGUGCAUGGUUGUCGUCAGCUCGUGUCGUGAGAUGUUGGGUUAAGUCCCGCAACGAGCGCAACCCCUACGUUUAGUUGCUAACGCGUGAAGGCGAGCACUCUAGACGAACUGCCGUUGACAAAACGGAGGAAGGUGGGGAUGACGUCAAAUCAUCAUGCCCCUUAUGUUCUGGGCUACACACGUGCUACAAUGGCCGGUACAGACGGACGCAAAGCCGCGAGGCGGAGCAAAUCCGAAAAAGCCGGUCUCAGUCCGGAUCGCAGUCUGCAACUCGACUGCGUGAAGUUGGAAUCGCUAGUAAUCGUGGAUCAGCAUGCCACGGUGAAUACGUUCCCGGGCCUU
rnacentral:rRNA from 1 species